ensembl:lncRNA
UUUGUAGCUGACCUGUGUAGUUUUACACCGGUAACAAAAGCCACUGGGAAGUUACAAAAAUCCUCCCGCACAGACUGGCUUUAGGAAUCAAGGAUGCGGUCAGCAAAGGCACAGAUGACGAGAACCUAAUGCACAAGAGUUGGUUCCUGGAACCUGCUCGGUUCCUCAGCACACUGGGCCUGCUGACUGCAGAACAGGGACAGCUGACUCCAGGGACUGCUAUUAGACCAGCAGCCACAGUCACCUGCAUGAGGUAACAACAGUAGCACCAGUCUCAGCCAGUGCAAAUGAGGACACGAAAUGUUUUGGCCUUAGACAUUCCAGGAUUUUUGGAUUACCUAAAACCACGACUCAGGUCAUCAGAGAACCACUCUAGGAUGUUUAAACAUUUUGUAUAUUAAAAAACACUUAUGCUCUUCUUUCCCCUUUAAUGUUAUGGUGUUAUCUCUACUACAGACCAAUUCCUUUAUUUAAAAAAAUUUUUUAUUGAAAUGUAGUUGAUUUACGAUGUUAAGUUUCAGAUAUAUAGCAGUGAUUCGGUUGUAUUGUUUUAUAUAUAUUACACACACAGCAGUUCCCUGUGCUAUAUAAUAGGUCCUUGUUGGUUAUCUAUUUUAUAUAUAGUAGUGUAUAGUAUAUUUUGAUUCCACACUCCUAAUUUACGCCCCCACCCUUCCCCUUUGGUAACCUUAAGUUUGUUUCCUGAGUCUAUUUGUCUUAUAAAUUAAGUUUAUAUCUAUUAUUUUUCUAGAUUCCAUAUGUCUUUCUCUUAGUA